UAGCUCAGUGGUAGAGUGCUUGCCUAGCAUGCUUGAGGACCUGGGUUCAAUUCUCAG
rnacentral:tRNA from 1 species